UGGGGAAUUUUGGACAAUGGGGGAAACCCUGAUCCAGCCAUCCCGCGUGUGCGAUGAAGGCCUUCGGGUUGUAAAGCACUUUUGGCAGGAAAGAAACGUCAUGGGUUAAUACCCCGUGAAACUGACGGUACCUGCAGAAUAAGCACCGGCUAACUACGUGCCAGCAGCCGCGGUAAUACGUAGGGUGCAAGCGUUAAUCGGAAUUACUGGGCGUAAAGCGUGCGCAGGCGGUUCGGAAAGAAAGAUGUGAAAUCCCAGAGCUCAACUUUGGAACUGGAUUUUUAACUACCCGGCUAGAGUGUGUCAGAGGGAGGUGGAAUUCCGCGUGUAGCAGUGAAAUGCGUAGAUAUGCGGAGGAACACCGAUGGCGAAGGCAGCCUCCUGGUAUAACACUGACGCUCAUGCACGAAAGCGUGGGGAGCAAACAGG
rnacentral:rRNA from 1 species